rnacentral:rRNA from 1 species
GAUGAACGCUAGCGGCAGGCUUAAUACAUGCAAGUCGAGGGGCAGCACAGGGUAGCAAUACCUGGGUGGCGACCGGCAAACGGGUGCGGAACACGUACAGAACCUUCCUUCGAGCGGGGAAUAGCCCAGAGAAAUUUGGAUUAAUACCCCAUAGUAUAAUAGAGUGGCAUCACUUUGUUAUUAAAGAUUUAUCACUUGAAGAUGGCUGUGCGUAUGAUUAGGUAGUUGGCGGGGUAACGGCCCACCAAGCCUACGAUCAUUAACUGGUGUGAGAGCACGACCAGUCACACGGGCACUGAGACACGGGCCCGACUCCUACGGGAGGCAG